rnacentral:rRNA from 1 species
UACGAAGGGGGCUAGCGUUGUUCGGAUUUACUGGGCGUAAAGCGCACGUAGGCGGAUCGUUAAGUCAGGGGUGAAAUCCCGGGGCUCAACCCCGGAACUGCCUUUGAUACUGGGUAUCUGGAGGUCGAGAGAGGCGAGUGGAAUUCCGAGUGUAGAGGUGAAAUUCGUAGAUAUUCGGAGGAACACCAGUGGCGAAGGCGGCUCGCUGGCUCGAUACUGACGCUGAGGUGCGAAAGCGUGGGGAGCAAACAGG